rnacentral:lncRNA from 1 species
AACUUUUUCUACAGCCUCCUUUGCGGAUUAGGGUUAAAAUUGUUGAACUUUUUUUUUAAUCCCCAUUCACCUGUUUUAGAUUCUGCAAGAAAUAAACGAGAUUUCUUGUAUUUUAAUAAUUACAGUUGAAUGGUUUUAGUUUUAAAAAUGGGCAAAUCUCCAAAAUAGCACAUUUCUAUGUUUAUGUCACAAAAAUAGCUCUCAAAAACUAAAAUGACCAAAAUAGCAUUUUAUCUUUUGAAAAAUUUAAAUUUUUUUAUUUUUCAAAAUUUGAAAUCUUAUCCCCAAAACCCCAAUCCCCAAAUCUAAACCCUAAAACCUAAACUCUAAACCCUAAACUCUAAACCCUAAAUCCUAAACUCCACCCCUUAACUCUAAACCCUAAUGUCUAAAUUAAUUUACCAUUAGGGUAUAAGUGUAUAUUUAUCUCUUUUGAUAAAAUAUUAAGUGCUAUUUUGGUCAUUUUUAUUCUUAGAGGCUAUAUUUGUGACAAAAAUCUUUUUAGUGCUAUCCU